rnacentral:misc_RNA from 1 species
AAAAAAUUAAAUCAAAAAUAGGAAAAUGAAAGAUUCCCAAGUUUAAGUCUUCACAUCUAUCUAUUCUAAGAUUCUAAGAUUAUUUAACUUUAUGUUUAGAAAAGAAGAGGGCCACCUCCCGCUGAUUAGGCCACCAGUUGUUACUUAGCCCAUUUGCCUCCAUUAAGUCCAAAAAAUCAUAUCUCAUAAGUUGGUAAAACAG